UACGGAGGGUGCGAGCGUUAAUCGGAGUAACUGGGCGUAAAGGGCACGCAGGCGGGCUGUUAAGUGAGGUGUGAAAUCCCCGGGCUUAACCUGAGAAUAGCAUUUCAGACUGGGAGUCUAGAGUACUUUAGGGAGGGGUAGAAUUCCACGUGUAGCGGUGAAAUGCGUAGAGAUGUGGAGGAAUACCGAAGGCGAAGGCAGCCCCGUGGGAAUGUACUGACGCUCAUGUGCGAAAGCGUGGGUAGCAAACAGG
rnacentral:rRNA from 1 species